rnacentral:rRNA from 1 species
AUGCAACCCCAGCUAGCGCCCCCGCCAUCCUUGCUGUCUCCCCCCUUGUCACCACCAGAGAAGGCUCCGGGGAAGCACGUAUGGCCGACUAGGAUGGUGGUGGCAAGGAUCUGCUGCUCCGCCCCGUUUGGAGAGCUUUGGAAGCCGAGGUGGAGGCCUUGGAUGGCGUGGCGGUACUGGCCCUCCAGCGAGCUGUGGUCGCGGGUGCUGCUCCACCUCCUCGGCCGCGCGGGUGUUAAGGUGGUGGCGGUCGCCGACGGCCGGUCUUUGCAUUCCGUCUUCCUCUGGGGACGUUGCUAG